GACGAACGCUGGCGGCGUGCCUAACACAUGCAAGUCGAACGAAGUUUAGAGGAGAUUGCUUUUCUAAACUUAGUGGCGGACGGGUGAGUAACGCGUGAGUAACCUGCCUUUUAGAGGGGGAUAACGUUUUGAAAAGAACGCUAAUACCGCAUAAUGUGCAGCUGUCGCAUGGCAGCAGUACCAAAGGAGCAAUCCGCUGAAAGAUGGACUCGCGUCCGAUUAGCUAGUUGGUGGGGUAAAAGCCUACAAAGGCGACGAUCGGUAGCCGGACUGAGAGGUUGAACGGACACAUUGGGACGGAGACACGGCCCAGACUCCUACGGGAGGCAGCAGUGGGGGAUAUUGCACAAUGGAGGAGACUCUGAUGCAGCAACGCCGCGUGUGGGAUGAAGGUUUUCGGAUUGUAAACCACUGUUCUUGGUGAAGAUAAUGACGGUAGCCAAGGAGAAAGCUCCGGCUAACUACGUGCCAGCAGCCGCUGUAACAC
rnacentral:rRNA from 1 species